rnacentral:rRNA from 1 species
AUUGAACGCUGGCGGCAGGCCUAACACAUGCAAGUCGAACGAGUGGCGGACUGGUGAGUAAUGUCUUGGAAACUGCCCGAUCUAGGGGGAUAACUACUGGAAACGUUAGCUAAUACCGCAUACCAUCGGAUUGGCCCAUAUGGGAUUAGCGAGUGGGUGGGGUAAAGGCUCACCAAGGCGACGAUCCCUAGCUGGUCUGAGAGGAUGACCGGCCACACUGGAACGGAGACACGGCCCAGACUCCUACGGGAGGCAGCAGUGGGGAAUAUUGGACAAUGGGCGAAAGUCUGAUGCAGCCAUGCCGCGUGUAUGAAGAAGGUUUUCGGGUUGUAAAGCACGUUCAGCGGGGAGGCGUUAUCUGACGAAGAAGCACCGGCUAACUACGUGCCAGCCGCCGCGGUAAUUC